CAGAGGGGGCAAGCGUUAUUCGGAAUUAUUGGGCGUAAAGGGCGCGUAGGCGGCUUUGCAAGUGACGGGUGAAAUCCCUCGGCUUAACCGAGGAACUGCCUGUCAAACUGCGUGGCUUGAGACCAGGAGAGGUGAGUGGAAUUCCCAGUGUAGCGGUGAAAUGCGUAGAUAUUGGGAGGAACACCAGUGGCGAAGGCGGCUCACUGGACUGGUACUGACGCUGAGGCGCGAAAGCGUGGGGAGCAAACAGGAUUAGAUACCCUGGUGGUCCACGCCGUAAACGAUGAGUGCUUGGUGUAGCGGGUAUCGACCCCUGCUGUGCCGAAGUCAACACAUUAAGCACUCCGCCUGGGGAGUACGGUCGCAAGGCUG
rnacentral:rRNA from 1 species